rnacentral:lncRNA from 1 species
GAUGCCUUUUUAUAGGUAUCAGAUUGCAAAAAAGUUGAAAAGGACUGUAAUGAGAAGUAGUGGGUUCUCGAAUUUACUAAAAUUAAAUGUGAAGAUUAAUGGUUUGUUCUUAAAGUGAUUUGCGACGUUACUCUAAUGAUAAUCUUAGCUCUGCCUAGAAAAGUGAUUAGGGUUCUGGAGAGGAUGACUAAGAACGAAAGUACUCUUCUUGAGUCGGGGCCCAAUUGCUAUGUUUGGAAAAACAAUGCUAUUUGGGUUAUAUGCCCACGAAAGAUAGUAAGGAGAAGUGUCGACCAGAACUGACUAUAUUAAACAAACAAUCCAUGGGCCCAAAUGUUUGAUAGGCCAUAACCGGAGAAUCCCAAGUCCGUAAACAUCAGAAACAAAAGAGAAAAUAAAGGCUGGCGUGUCAGCAUUUGCCCACCCUUCUCUGCUGAGCUGGACCUUCUAAGGAGAGACUAAAAUCUCAUUUAUUGUAUAAGAACUAGGGAUUAACCCGGGCUACGCCCGGGAUUUUUAUGUUUUUUUCAAUUUAAGUUGUUAAAUUAUUUAUAUUUAGGUUAUGAUAUAUAUUUAUAUAAAUGUUAAGAUGCAUGUCAUAAUUAAAAUUUAUUUUUAAAUUUUAACACAUUAAAUUAACAUAUUUUUUACUAUUUAAAUAUUUUUUUGGAAUUUUGUUGGCUAUCUAGUUAUCAUAUUUAGCAAAGUUAUCUGUUGAGUGUUGGAAUAAAUGUUUUAGAUAUUUAAUCAAACUGCAGAGUAUUUUCGGAUCGACCAUAUGCUAAACAAUCGAUCGAUCCGUAAAAAGAUGGUCGAUCUCCUUAGCCAGGUAAGUACAAUUUUAGCAAAAAUAUCUUUGAUUUUUAAAUAUUAAGUAUAUAACUAUUCUUUUGAAUAUUGUUUUUUUGAAUUGUAUUUUCUGAUUAAGUCAUUGUAUUAUAAUGUUUAUGUAAAUAUUUUUUUGUGAUGUUUGAAUUUGUGUUGUUCGUAUACUUAACCUAGAUGAUAUUGAUGUUUAACAAUUUAUUGUUUUCUGGAAAUAGAAAAUAAUGAUAUAUCAAAACAUAUCUAAUACUUAUUAAAUGAUAGUAUAAUGUAAAUUACAUCCAUUAUUUGAAAAUACCAUUUGUUGUUUUUAUUUUAUUUUUAAAUCAGAAAUUCUUUUUAUUUAAAAACAUUAUUCAUAUAUAGUAUAAUAGUUUAAGUUUGGAAGAUUAAUAUAUAUAUAUAUAUAUAUAUAUAUAAAUUAUGUAUAUUUAAAAAAAAAAUUUAAGAAAUUA